AGAACAACAGAAGCAUUAAAAUAAACAGCAAGAGUAGAAGCAGUAAUCCAAGAAAAUCUCCAAUUUGCAACUCCUUCUCCAUGAAGUUGUCCCAUCACCAAAAUUGGUCUUUCUCUUUCUUUUUCUUUUUCCUUCUCUCUCUCCUUCU
rnacentral:ribozyme from 13 species